AAUAAUUAAAAACAAUUAAAUUUAUGGCAUGAUUAUUGUUUCAUGCAUUCUAAUAAUCACCAAAUAUUUCAUCAAGCUGUGCAACAUACUCAAAAAAAUUUGUUCCGAGACGUGGAUUUUCUGGAUUCAUCUUAUACAUAUUGUAAAAUUUCUUCAAAUAAUCCCAACGAUUUUUAGCGUGCUUCCAACUCAUCUCUAUUCCAAAUUGCUCAUUAAGCUUCUUGACAAUAUUUUCUUUUUGGGACAGAUUAAAAAAUCUGUUGCCUUCAUCUUUGCUCUGUUUCUCCACAAUUAUACAUUCAAGUAAUGUAUGUGUCAUCUCGUUCGUCAAUGUAACUUUCUGAAAACCAAGACAUAGUGAAUUUAUUUACUCUUUGCAAUCCAAUAAAGACAAAGUUAAUAGUAAAUAGCAUACCGUCAUCGAAGCAGAAGCCAAAAUAUCUUGUGAAGCCAUAAUUAUCAAUUCUAACAUUAGAUAGUAUAAAAACUCAUUUAGAAAACAAAUGAACUUGACUGAUAGAAAUAUAAAACAGAGCCAAAAGUUAACAAUAAAAGAAGAUUAGAAUUACCUUCUUUUGUCGCUAAAAAGAAUGUGUGCU
rnacentral:lncRNA from 1 species